rnacentral:rRNA from 1 species
CAGCCGCGGUAUUCCAGCUCCAAUAGCGUAUAUUAAGGUUGCUGCGGUUAAAAAGCUCGUAGUUGAAUUUCGAGAUUGAUGCAUCGGUCGUGCCUUAAGGGGUAUGAACUGGUGUAGCCAAUUUCUUACCUUCUGGUGAAUUGUGAUGCUCUCAUUAAUUGGGUGUUUCAAUGAACUAGGACUUUUUACUUUGAAAAAAUUAGAGUGUUUAAAGCAGGCAUUAUUUGCUUGAAUACAUUAGCAUGGAAUAAUAAAAUAGGACAAUGAUUCUAUUUUGUUGGUUUCUAGGAUCACUGUAAUGAUUAAUAGGGAUAGUUGGGGGCAUUAGUAUUCAAUUGUCAGAGGUGAAAUUCUUGGAUUAAUUGAAGACUAACUACUGCGAAAGCAUUUGCCAAGGAUAUUUUCAUUAAUCAAGAACGAAAGUUAGGGGAUCGAAGACGAUUAGGUACGUCGUAGUCUUAACCAUAAACUAUGCCGACUAGGAAUCAGACAACGUUAAAUUUUUAAUGACUUGUUUGGCACCUUACG